AGAGGGUUUGUGGACAGGGGUCCAGGUGGAGCUGCUCAGAGCAUCCCUCAGAACUGCCUCACUUUUAUAAACCCAGACUAACAACCUCAGUGAAUUCAGGUGUGACAGCAAGGUGAGAAACAGGAAGGGAGCAGAAAAGCCAUUAGAAGAAAGAUGGGACCUAAAAGAUAAGACCUGAGCAGGAGCAAGCAGAGCAUAAUCUCCUCCUCAACAUGAUGCAACCAGCAGUAUCCAGCAGCCUGCUUGGCAGACUCAGGCCUAGAAUGGAAACAGCAUGAAGCAAAGAAAAAGGGUGUGAAAUAUAAAGCUAUCUUUCAGGGAUCACAUGGUCCCACCAGGAAAUAUGGAAACCUCUGACUCGUCUGGAUUUCUCUCUCUCCCUCCCUUUGGGUCUUUUGCAGAAAGCAUAGCCUGUGUGCCCAGGAGGUGAUGAAAUCCCUAAAGCUGUAUGGCACAUGGGGAAUUUGGGGGAUUGCAAAACAGGAUGUUUCUUGGAGGAAAUACAGUCUCAGCAAGCAAAAGGUUCAAGUACGGUACAUCUCACAAUGAUGUAAGAGCUUGAUUAUGCAUCUCGCUUAAAGCCCAGCUUAGGGUUUUAGUUCUAGUAGAACUAAUAGGCAACACCUGCUGCGAUGAAAACAAUUUCCGUCCCUGAACUCUAGCAGAAGUGUUUAUCUUUUGAGUUAGAAAAUGUUUCUCUAAUAUCUGAACAAGACUCCAGGGACAGGAACAUAUGCCCAGAACUGGCGUUUCUGCACAUCGGAUAGCUUAUAAAAAUGAGAAUUAGAAAAACCUGGUAUCAUCAGACAUCUUGUCCAAUGAAGUCAUUAAAUGGAAAAAAACAACAAGGUUCCUCUAAUGCUCCUCUCUCUGCCACCAUAGCCCCGGUUGCUCUUUGUAGUGCAGAAACAGAGGCUACUGAAAAACGUGUUGGAGUAAAUUCUGAGUUCACUGCAUGGGCCUUACCCAGAGCUGCUCCUGGCAAAACUAUCAUUGGCUUCAAUGGAAACAUUACCCAAAAGUGGGCCUCAGGACUCAGACCUCUUGGUAUUAGUUACUAAUUUUAUUAUUAAAGGUUAAACAGAGCUGUUGGCAGUACAAACAAUUUUCUUACGUAAGCAGUGAAAGGGAGAUUGUCAGAUACGCAAAAUAAAACAAUACUGCCAAGUCAAGGCAAUAUAGG
ensembl:lncRNA